AUUAUUGUCUAUCGUCUAUGAGUCAGUGUUAUCAGAACCGGAUCGGAUAUCGAACCGGUCGAGGUAUGAGUUCAUGAGUUUAUGGGUUCGACCGGGGGUUCGAUGGGUCGGACCGCGUGUUUAAUUAUAAAAUAAAUAAAUAUUUAUUAUCUUAAUAAAUAUAAUAUCUACUAAUAAAUAGCAGGUUGACAAAAGUCAAAACCCUUCUUUCUGCCUUGGCUUCUUCUUCUUUAGGUGUCCAGUGGCUUCUUGGAGAAGCCAGCUCCUUACGUCUCCAACUCCAAGUCCAAGGUCUCUCUCUCCCCGUCACAUUCCCGAGUAUUUUCCCUUGACGGGGCCAAACGCGACCAAUUUCUCUACCUCGCCGCCGUCUCCACUGGAAGAUCUAAAGUUCUUGCCCGAUGCCGAGAAGCUUGCACCAGCAGCUCUUACCCUCUUGCUCUGAUUCUUCUUCCUCCUCCUCCUCCUCGUCCUCCUCGUCCUCGUCGACCGCCUUGAAGCUCCUCUUCUGAUCUUUGAGGAGGUGCCCAAAACUCUGCUUCCCGUGGCUGAGGUGAGAAGAGCUGAAGAUGAAGAGCAGUAGGAAGAAAACUAGGGUUUUCGAUUCAAUUCUGCAAUUUCUGCCCGUUUUCGAUUUCGGAUCGGGUAUUCGGUUCGGAUUUCCUUUAAAAUUUUUGAACCCAUGCAACCGCCCGGUUCGAUGGGUUUAUCUAAAAACCGGCCGGUUUUUUGGGUUCACCGGUUUUUUUGUGCCUUUUCGGUUUUUAAGCAAACCGGACCGGACAUAGGUCCGGUUUCCGGUCCGACCGGUCGAACCGGCCGGUCCGGUCCGGUUCUGAUAACACUGCUAUGAGUUCAUGAUAUCCUUGAUCUAUUAGUGGAAAUUACAUUCUUGCUCUCAA